rnacentral:rRNA from 1 species
ACUCAAAUGAAUUGACGGGGGCCCGCACAAGCAGCGGAGCGUGUGGUUUAAUUCGACGCGACGCGAAGAACCUUACCCAGGCUUGACAUGGCCGCGACAGCUUCUGAAAGGGAGUCUCCGCUUCGGCGGCGCGGUCACCGGUGUUGCAUGGCUGUCGUCAGCUCGUGCCGUGAGGUGUUGGGUUAAGUCCCGCAACGAGCGCAACCCCCGUGCCUAGUUAGGCUGUCUAGGCAGACUGCCGGCAGAGAGUCGGAGGAAGGCGGGGAUGACGUCAAGUCAGCAUGGCCCUUACGUCUGGGGCGACACACACGCUACAAUGGCCGGUACAACGGGCAGCGAGCCCGCGAGGGGGAGCUAAUCCCAGCAAAGCCGGUCUCAGUUCGGAUUGCAGGCUGCAACUCGCCUGCAUGAAGGCGGAGUUGCUAGUAACCGCCGGUCAGCACACGGCGGUGAAUAUGUUCCCGGGCCUUGUACACACCGCCCGU